rnacentral:rRNA from 1 species
UCUACGGGAGGCAGCAGUGAGGAAUAUUGGACAAUGGGCGAGAGCCUGAUCCAGCCAUGCCGCGUGCAGGAAGACGGCCCUAUGGGUUGUAAACUGCUUUUAUACGGGAAGAAACACUCUGACGUGUCAGAGCUUGACGGUACCGUAAGAAUAAGGAUCGGCUAACUCCGUGCCAGCAGCCGCGGUAAUACGGAGGAUCCAAGCGUUAUCCGGAAUCAUUGGGUUUAAAGGGUCCGUAGGCGGGACAAUAAGUCAGCGGUGAAAGUCUGUGGCUCAACCAUAGAAUUGCCAUUGAUACUGUUGUUCUCGAGUGUUUAUGAAGUGGUUAGAAUAUGUAGUGUAGCGGUGAAAUGCUUAGAUAUUACAUGGAAUACCGAUUGCGAAGGCAGAUCACUAAUAAAAUACUGACGCUGAUGGACGAAAGCGUAGGUAGCGAACAGGAUUAGAUACCCUGGUAGUCUACGCCGUAAACGAUGGUUACUAGCUGUUCGGAAGCAAUUCUGAGUGGCUAAGCGAAAGUGAUAAGUAACCCACCUGGGGAGUACGUUCGCAAGAAUGAAACUCAAAGGAAUUGACGGA